rnacentral:rRNA from 1 species
UGAACGCUGGCGGUAGGCCUAACACAUGCAAGUCGAACGGCAGCACAGUAAGAGCUUGCUCUUAUGGGUGGCGAGUGGCGGACGGGUGAGGAAUACAUCGGAAUCUACUCUGUCGUGGGGGAUAACGUAGGGAAACUUACGCUAAUACCGCAUACGACCUACGGGUGAAAGCAGGGGAUCUUCGGACCUUGCGCGAUUGAAUGAGCCGAUGUCGGAUUAGCUAGUUGGCGGGGUAAAGGCCCACCAAGGCGGCGAUCCGUAGCUGGUCUGAGAGGAUGAUCAGCCACACUGGAACUGAGACACGGCCCAGACUCCUACGGGAGGCAGCAGUCGGGAAUUUUGCGCAAUGGGGGAAACCCUGACGCAGCAAUACCGCGUGUGGGAUGAAGGCCUUCGGUCGUAAACCACUUUUUCGGGUACGAUAAUGACGGUACCCGAAGAAUAAGCCACGGCUAACUACGUGCCAGCAGCCGCGGUAAUCU